rnacentral:rRNA from 1 species
AGCAGCCGCGGUAAUUCCAGCUCCAAUAGCGUAUAUUAAAGUUGUUGCAGUUAAAAAGCUCGUAGUUGAAUUUUGGAUUCUUCCAAUUGGUCCAUCUUUUAGAUGAGUACUGGUUGUGUGGGGGUUCUAUCCGCCUGGUGAUACGUAAUGUCCUUUAUUGGAUGUUUCGGGGUAGUCAGGACCUUUACCUUGAAAAAAAUUAGAGUGUUUAAAGCAGGCUUAUGCCGGAAUACAUUAGCAUGGAAUAAUAGAAUAGGACGAAGUUGUUUUAUUUUGUUGGUUUCUAGGACAACCGUAAUGAUUAAUAGGGAUAGUUGGGGGCAUUAGUAUUCAAUUGUCAGAGGUGAAAUUCUUGGAUUUAUUGAAGACUAACUACUGCGAAAGCAUUUGCCAAGGAUGUUUUCAUUAAUCAAGAACGAAAGUUAGGGGAUCGAAGACGAUCAGAUACCGUCGUAGUCUUAACCAUAAACUAUGCCGACUAGGGAUCGGGCGAUGUUGUUUCCAUGACUCGCUCGGCACC